UGUCUUCUAUACAACCAGAACGGUCCAGUGGCGAUCAAUUCAAUGCCCUGAGAAUGAAAUGACCUGGAUGAAUAUUUUCAUAGGCAUUUUGAAAAAGAUGCAUGACAUUUCUCUGCCAAUAUUUUUUGUUAAAUUCUACAGGUUUAUAAAAAGGUGGAACAUUUUAGAAAAACUGGCAUUUUUUUGUUUUGCUUACAUUCUACACUUUACGACAAUCGAUGUCCCCAAAACAAACAGGUACUUUGGCUGACAAUGAUCUACGUUAUCAGGGCAGAAUUCAAACUAGAUCAGCCAAACACUGCUGAGUAAUAUUAAUUUUCCAAACACACAGUCUGGACAGUGGGUAUGAAUUCCUGCACUUUUAAUACAGAAGCCAAAUGAGUAUAUGCAGAACAAAACACAUGAUGUCAAUAAGACAAAUAAAGAACAUUGGUUGCAGUCACUUGUGACAUCAUCUCACCAAGCAACAUGUGAGGAGGAACAGCUGACUCUUGUUCCCUCACUGAAGGCUGAAAAUGAACUGCCUCAACUCGAACGAAGACGACUGAUGUUCUGAAAGAAAUACAGUAUGUGACAUCUGACAGGUCCUCUGAUCAAGAUGCUCUUCACACAGCAUCAACACUGAACCCUCUCAUCAAAAGGUGCACAUCUCCUUGAAGUUGAGUACGCUUGACCCAGCGAAAAAUGAAAAGUGGCUCUUACCUGUGUUUCUUCAUGGCUGGAGUGAGCAAGGAGCUGCUCACCUGAAAAUGAUUGAAAUUCAGUCUUAACUGGUUUGUGCACAUGUGAAAAACACAAUAUCAUAGUCAUAUCAUAGUCAUAUCAUAGUUUCUUGUCAUCUGUAUUCCUUCUUGCUCCACAAUUAUUUCAUAUAUCUCUCUGUUGGAUUUGCUUUGUGUAUUAGUACUUUUUUCUAUAGUUUUGGUGUAUUCCUGGUGAUUCUACUCAUUCCCUAGUCUGAUCAUCGUAAGUUGUGGUGCUGACGUAUGCCUUUUGCUUUUAACCAUAGUUUUCAGUUAUUUUUUUUGCUACCGUUUUGGCUGCUUCGAGGUCCAACCUGUUAGAAAGAGUUUAGCCAAAAGAAAUGGACCCCCAGGAAUCUGAAGAUUUGCACCAAGCUAUUCUCUGCCAUUGUCCAGAGCUUGGACAGCAAAGUAGGUCCUUACAAGAGAUGAAGGAUGCUUUUCAAACCUUACUUCUAGUAUGGUCAUUCUGAUGGCACAUGUGGACAAAUUUUGUCAACACUUAGUCAAAUGGUCCUCAUCCCAUCUCCCACUGGUGAUGCUCAGCCAGCAGCUCUGACCCCAACAACCCACCAUCUUCUGGAGGAUGCUUGUCCAGCGGGAGCCAUCCAACGGUGCUCAUCCCACAGCUACCCUUUGACCUUCCUUUUUUCGGCACUAGUCCUGCAGCCAUCACCAAAUCCCACUCCAAGGGCGCACGGCAUAGACCUCAAAACAUGCCUGGUAUGGUCUGCCACACUAGUCAUCUUCUUCUCUGGUAGGUUGUAUUCGGUAUGCCUGGGCAUUCCAUCCUAUCAUGUCCUUCUGUCUGAAUGACCAGCCGGAGCGCCUCAUAUCUGGUGUCCCAGACGCCCACCAGACUGGCCCCAAUUGGAAGAAUUGUUGGCCAUCUGCAACCUAUGUGCCUCCAGAAUUCUCAUUAAUUUGGGUAUGUUCCUGGCCAC